GAUGAACGCUGGCGGCGUGCCUAAUACAUGCAAGUCGAGCGAACGGACGAGAAGCUUGCUUCUCUGAUGUUAGCGGCGGACGGGUGAGUAACACGUGGAUAACCUACCUAUAAGACUGGGAUAACUUCGGGAAACCGGAGCUAAUACCGGAUGAUAUUUUGAACCGCAUGGUUCAAAAGUGAAAGACGGUCUUGCUGCCACUUAUAGAUGGAUCCGCGCUGCAUUAGCUAGUUGGUAAGGUAACGGCUUACCAAGGCAACGAUGCAUAGCCGACCUGAGAGGGUGAUCGGCCACACUGGAACUGAGGCACGGUCCAGACUCCUACGGGAGGCAGCAGUAGGGAAUCUUCCGCAAUGGGCGAAAGCCUGACGGAGCAACGCCGCGUGAGUGAUGAAGGUCUUCGGAUCGUAAAACUCUGUUAUUAGGGAAGAACAUAUGUGUAAGUAACUGUGCACAUCUUGGCGGUACCUAAUCAGAAAGCCACGGCUAACUACGUG
rnacentral:rRNA from 1 species